rnacentral:tRNA from 1 species
UCCCUGGUGGCUGAGAGGUUAAAGCGUCUGCCUGCAAUGCGGGAGACCUGGGUUCGAUCCCUGGAUCGGGAA